AGAAGCCGUACCCUCCAUUGUACACUGAAUUGGGUAUUCAAGAGUGGGCUUUAAGAUAUGCGAUAAAGGACACAAUUAAACCGGUUUUGUAAAAUUAUAUCUGGAUAGAGUCCAUGUUAGGGUCUGGAUAUGAAAAAUAAUUUUUUUUUUUACUAAAGAUAUAAAAUGAGCCAACAACGGUAUAAAAUGAGAGAAAAAAGAACUAAAAAAACAAUAAGAGUGGUGUACAGGCAAAUUGUACCAGAGUCUCCAUGACUUUGCAGUCUCAGUGAGGUACACUCCCACCGUCUGGGAGCUUCACAUUGGGAGUCCGUCAAGUGACUGUGGGUGGUCUAGGCUGGAAUAUAGGGAUCUUGAAGAUGCCCAGACUUUCCAGGUGUGUAUCUUGAGCACCGGUGCUUGUGAUGAGGCCCAGGAUACUCAUAGUGGUUUCUAGGUCCUGGAGGUUCUGUGCCUGGUGGGUGAACAGUAACAUUCUAGGAACUCCCCAGUGAUAGGUCAUUUCUUUGGUUCGGAGAACCUGUAACCUGAUGUAGUGCAGCAUUUCAUCCAUGCUUACAUCUGCAGGGAUGCCCCUUAUUUUUUAAGUUGUGGCGUCUCCUCUGAUCAUACAGUAUCUCUACUGGGCCCCUAAAAACAGCAUUGAUUAACUACACCCAGUACUCACAAGCAACCAAACCCUGCAGAUUCUUCUAAGCAGAGACUGGCCCCCCAAAAACAGCAUUGAAUAACUACACCCAGUACUCACAAGCAACCAAACCCUGCAGAAUCUUCUAAGCAGAGACUGGGCUCCUAAAAACAAAAUUGAUUAACUACACAUAGUACUCACAAGCAACCAAACCCUGCAGAAUAUUCUAAGCACACACUGGGCCCCUAAAAACAGCAUUGAUUAACUACACCCAUGUAACGGACCGUUUCUCAAACAAGAGGAUAAAAACCGUUUAGGCGAUAAUCCCCUUUCCCAUAGACCAGCAGCUACUGCAAGCACCAAACUCCCGAACUGCAAACUGUACGAAUUCACCAACUCUCGAACUGGAAACACACGAACACUGGAAUCAGCCGAACAGGAAAAGCAUACAAUCCGCUUACACUCCUGGCAGUCAGCAUACAAUCCAAUUCCCCCCAAAAACGAGACGACACAUCAGUUUGAGGGUCAAGCAGAAUCUCCUGUACUGUCACAUACAGUCUCUUUUAUUCCCAAUCCACAAACAUAGUA